rnacentral:rRNA from 1 species
UACAGAGGGGGCAAGCGUUGUUCGGAAUUACUGGGCGUAAAGGGCGCGUAGGUGGCCUUCUAAGUUGAACGUGAAAUCCCUGGGCUCAACCCAGGAACUGCGUCCAAGACUGGGAGGCUUGAAUCCGGGAGAGGGAUGCGGAAUUCCAGGUGUAGCGGUGAAAUGCGUAGAUAUCUGGAGGAACACCGGUGGCGAAGGCGGCAUCCUGGACCGGCAUUGACGCUGAGGCGCGAAAGCGUGGGGAGCAAACAGG